rnacentral:rRNA from 1 species
AGUGAACGCUGGCGGUAGGCCUAACACAUGCAAGUCGAACGGCAGCACAGUAAGAGCUUGCUCUUACGGGUGGCGAGUGGCGGACGGGUGAGGAAUACAUCGGAAUCUACUUUUUCGUGGGGGAUAACGUAGGGAAACUUACGCUAAUACCGCAUACGACCUACGGGUGAAAGCAGGGGAUCUUCGGACCUUGCGCGAUUGAAUGAGCCGAUGUCGGAUUAGCUAGUUGGCGGGGUAAAGGCCCACCAAGGCGACGAUCCGUAGCUGGUCUGAGAGGAUGAUCAGCCACACUGGAACUGAGACACGGUCCAGACUCCUACGGGAGGCAGCAGUGGGGAAUAUUUGACAAUGGGCGCAAGCCUGAUCCAGCCAUACCGCGUGGGUGAAGAAGGCCUUCGGGUUGUAAAGCCCUUUUGUUGGGAAAGAAAAGCAGCAGGUUAAUACCCCGCUGUUCUGACGGUACCCAAAGAAUAAGCACCGGCUAACUUCGUU